GCCAUUUCUGUGAAGAAGGUCACUUCCUAAUUUACGACAAAUAUGUAAUGUUUUUAGAAAAGUAAACAAAGCAAGUCUUUCUGUUAACAAUGGCAGAGGGAACACAGAAAAAAUCAGAAAUUAACCAAUGUAAUGAUGCACCAUUGAAUUUUAAAUACAAAGACGAUAUCUCAAUGUUUAUGGCAUGGCAGAAUUAUUGUUGGAUGUCCUACUCAUAUGCACUCUACCAGGAAUCUAUGAAUUCUUAUAUGCGGGAAUUCAUCAUGCAACAAAAUAAUAAUAUUAUGUUAUCAAGACUAAGCAAUCCAUCAGUUCCACCAGAACAAGCUCAACAACAAAAUAGCCAACAACAAGAAGUUGUGAAUCAAGAAAGUCCGAGAAUCAGAGUAAAACUGGCGUCAUUACCAAAUAGAGUUGCAGCUGAAUUGAUCGACUUUCUAUUGCUAGCAUUUAUCAAAGUACUUGUCAUAUUCAUAUGCUAUGGUGAUGAGUAUUUGGAGCAUUUUAAUUUUGUUUUGGUUAUCGACGACACAACAUCAUUCGACGACAUCCAGUGGAUGCUAUUGCAAGCAUUGCUUUUUCGUGCAAUCGUAGUUGGAUAUGAGGGCUACAUGUUGAGUGGUACAUUACCAUUUUCGCAUGGACAUACCCUUGGUAAAAGUGUAAUGGGGAUAACUGUUCUGCAUUGUGUCAAUUUUGAAGAAAGAAACGAGGCUGAACAGACAGUACAAGUCACGCCACAACCACUAGGUGUUGGGAGAUCGUUUCUCCGAUCUUUACUGAAAAACAUGUCUAUCUCAAUUCUCUUCCCAAUGUUGCUACCUAUACUAAUGUUCAGUCAUAAUCGCUUAGUAUAUGAUAUGGCAGUUGGUUCCGUUGUAGUUGACCGACCAGAUUUACAGCAACGAAGACCAAUAUUUGACUUCAGAUGAAAGAAAGUGCACUGUGAAGAAGAGCCUUAUCUGGUUUUAAAUUAUAAACUUUUACUUCGUUUUUAAACAGCGAAUUGAAAUGGUAAUGAAUGAAUAAAAUAUAAAAAUAUUUAUUGUAAAUAAAAAGUAGAGUAGAUCAUUACACCGGCCUUUGUAAUACCAGCUGUGUGAUGUGAGGAUCGCUGGUGCGUUUUCACUACUUCAAAAAAAAUCUUCGCUAGAUUAAAAAUUUUUACAAACACAAAUCAUAAUGACAUCCUAUUAUGACUUCUUUUCUUGCCAACCCUUUGAUUUACUCCUUGAACGAAAAAAAAUAAUCUACCCACUCUAAGGAAACAGAUUUGGCCCCAAGGUCAUAGUACCAUCUCCAAGAUGGAGGCGAAAAAUAUUCUUUAUUUAUAUCUGAAGAAAGUUCUUUUUACAGUAAGAACUCGUCGUCAAAAUGUUAUCCGGACUUUGCGUAGACUUGUCCAUAUUCAAAAAAGCCCUGCGAAGUUUGAGAUUUAAUGUUGGAAGAAAAUAUACGCACCAAAAAAUAAAUCUUGAUUGAAACGAACAAUCCUAUUUGGGUUCCCAUUGCCCUUAUUUAUAAAUACCGUCUUGAUAAAACCCAAAAAUAAGAGCCUUGGAAACGAGAUUGAUUAAAGACGUAUUUUUGAUCGCAUAAAACGUCAUGUAAUUAGCCUUGAACUUUGUGUCCCAUGUCACUUCUUUUAACUGUAUCAAAUUAAAAGUUUCGGAAAUAUAUUUUCUCGGAAAACAUAAUUAUGACGUCACAAAUAAAUCACAAAUAAACUAAGCGAAACACGAUACAAAAAAUGAGGGAAAUAUGUCAAUGAAAAAAAUACGUUUAAAAUAUGUAAUGAAAAUAUAUAAAAUUGAAGAACUUGUAAAACGUAACCUGCGGGGUAAAUGCGUGGUAAAUAUAAUCACUGUAAUUACUUCAUUACGUAGCCACAAAAGUAAUAUUUCCCUUAUGAGAAAAAUCGUUAAAUAAUAUGACGGAUUGUUUCUUUUUCUUAAUUACAUCAACUGUUUGUUUUCUUGUUAACGUCAUCUGUCAAAGAAGCAAAACUAUUUUAGGUGAGAUAAGAAGUUGUAGAAUUUCUAUUUAAAAAGAAACGCACAUUCAAACCUUUUUAAGGAAUCGUUGCUUUGUAGGAAAAAAAAUAAUUAGUAAGUUCGUCUGUUUCUAUAACAGCAGCAUGGCAUCCGCAGUUUCAAAUGCACCGGUUGAAGUCAAUUCUCCGGACGAACAUAAGAGGCAAUUUAUAUCAAGCAAUCGAUCCGGUCGAAGAAAUGCAGCACCGGCUAAUUUAUUUGUAGAGGAAGAAGCACUGAAAAUACUAGCCAAUCAGAUUGCAAAAAGCGCGGAGCAAAUGGAGGGUAAUGAUGAUACAAAAGCAAAUGAAAGUUAAUAGACUGAGUAUGUAGAACUGAAUAUGAAGACAAUAAUAGCCGGUCGUAAACAAGAGCGUCGUUUAAGAUAUUGACUGUGUUAAUCAAGGCAAAAAAUGUCAGACAAAUCAAGGACAUACAGAAAGAUAAGAAAACUGAUUCGAUGAUAAAUUAAUUUGUAUUGUAUAUAACAGCUCUUUUUACAUACAUUUUUUUGUAUUUAUCUAUAUCUUUAAUAUAAUUCUAUUUAAUUUUA